CUACGGGGCGCUGCAGUGGGGGAUAUUGCACAAUGGAGGAAACUCUGAUGCAGCAACGCCGCGUGAGGGAAGAAGGUUUUCGGAUUGUAAACCUCUGUUUUCGGUGAAGAAAAAAAUGACGGUAGCCGAAGAGGAAGCCACGGCUAACUACGUGCCAGCAGCCGCGGUAAUACGUAGGUGGCAAGCGUUGUCCGGAUUUACUGGGUGUAAAGGGUGCGUAGGCGGGACUGCAAGUUGGAUGUGAAAAUCUGAGGCUCAACCUCAGAACUGCAUCCAAAACUGUGGUUCUUGAGUGGAGUAGAGGUAAGCGGAAUUCCGAGUGUAGCGGUGAAAUGCGUAGAUAUUCGGAGGAACACCAGUGGCGAAGGCGGCUUACUGGGCUCUAACUGACGCUGAGGCACGAAAGCAUGGGUAGCAAACAGGAUUAGAUACCCCAGUAGUC
rnacentral:rRNA from 1 species